rnacentral:rRNA from 1 species
GUGGGGAAUUUUGGACAAUGGGCGCAAGCCUGAUCCAGCAAUGCCGCGUGCAGGAAGAAGGCCUUCGGGUUGUAAACUGCUUUUGUACGGAACGAAACGGCUCUGGUUAAUACCCGGGGCUAAUGACGGUACCGUAAGAAUAAGCACCGGCUAACUACGUGCCAGCAGCCGCGGUAAUACGUAGGGUGCAAGCGUUAAUCGGAAUUACUGGGCGUAAAGCGUGCGCAGGCGGUUUUGUAAGACAGGCGUGAAAUCCCCGGGCUCAACCUGGGAAUGGCGCUUGUGACUGCAAAGCUGGAGUGCGGCAGCGGGGGAUGGAAUUCCGCGUGUAGCAGUGAAAUGCGUAGAUAUGCGGAGGAACACCGAUGGCGAAGGCAAUCCCCUGGGCCUGCACUGAAGCUCAUGCACGAAAGCGUGGGGAGCAAACAGGAUUAGAUACCCCAGUAGUCC